rnacentral:rRNA from 1 species
UGCCCAGUGACAAAAUUCAACGGCCACGGUAUCCUAACCGCGCGAAGGUAGCAUAAUCACUUGUUCUUUAAAUGAGGACCUGUAUCAACGGCACCACGAGGGUUAUACUGUCUCCUCUUUCAAAUCAGUGAAACUAAUCUCCCCGUGAAGAAGCGGGGAUACCCCUAUAAGACGAGAAGACCCUAUGGAGCUUCAAACUCAACUACACCCCUAAUUCCUAUACCCCCUUAGCCAUACCUGGGCCCUGUUUAGUUAGUUUUAGGUUGGGGCGACCACGGAGUAAAACAAAACCUCCACAAUGAACGGGACUACCCCCUUAUCCAAGAGCCACACCCCUAAGAAUUAGAAUACUGACAUAAAAUGAUCCAUUAUUUGAUCAACGAACCAAGUUACCCUAGGGAUAACAGCGCAAUCCAUUUCAAGAGCCCUUAUCGACAAAUGGGUUUACGACCUCGAUGUUGGAUCAGGGUCCCCCAGUGGUGCAGCAGCUACUAACGGUUCGUUUGUUCAACGAUUAAAACCCUACGUGAUCU